CCACUAAGUGAGGUCAGGAUCAAACCUGCAUCUUCACAGAAACUAUGUUGGGUUCUUAACCCUCUGAGUCACAUCAGGAACUCCUACAUCGUUCUUCUUGAUCUCCCCUUUGGGAUUAUUUGUGAUUGUUCUAUCCCAGUUUAUUUCAGGGACACCACCCUCUCUUCCCAGAGCCAUCAUUCUUCCAGCCCUGAUUCCUGAGCUCUCUUUCCUCUGAUCUCCUUGACAAUGUCCAGCGAAAUCUGGACCCUUGGCUAAGACUCUCUCAUAACCUCGAAGCCUCCUUUCGAGGCCAUGCUUAUUGGGCAUUACUGGGUGGAGAGGCUAUUCCUUGGAUUGCUUUUCCAGAAGUACUGGUGGUGAAGUCUCGGUACUGGGCCCUCACACGACCUGUGAUGUUUGCUCCCGAAGCCGCCCCGGCCUUUCCAAAGACACUGAGCCCAUAUGGGGUUUGACCCCGCCACCCUGACAUCAUUAGCAUUGUUUUUGAAACAACCGAGCGAACCCAAUCCCAGCAUUUGUGAUUUUGUUAGGCCAGCUCGACUGCCCCAGAAAGGAAAUCAUUUCCACUCAAUUGCUUGUGAAUUGUGCCUCCUCUGUCCAGCAAAAGGGAUCCUGGUGUCUGCUGGGGUCAGUGACCUGCCUCCGAGGUCAUCUCUAAUGUUCCAUCUUUGGGGCUGGGUUUGCACCUGGUGUAUAGGGCUUGACGGAGAAGAUUAGAAAGUUUUCUGAACAGUAUUGCUUCAUCUACUUCUGGAUCAAUUAAUAUCUUCAUUAUUAGGAUCAAAUUCCUAUAACUUCUUACAGACCCAGUGUAUGCCUUUUUACUGUAUCGAUUGGAGAAGGCUUCUGGUCUUACCAUCAGAAAUGAGAAUGGCUGUGUCAGUGUAUUUGGUGGAACUUCAUUCCUUUGCGUACGCAUCUUUCUUAACCACACCAUUCGUAUAAUUUCACUGAAAAGAGCAUAUUUUUACAGUACUCUGGAAAUUAGUAAAGCAGUUGAAUAUUUGAACGCUCGAGAGAGCAAACUGCAUGUUAAUCCCUCCAAUCCUGCAGCCAGUUUUCUACACGAGACACAAAUGAUCCACAUUAGAACAGAAACGAAGGGGUGGGCAGGGCUAUGGAAGGGACAUCUCAGCAUCAAGGGCACUGGAGGGGACUCCAGGCUUUCAGGGUUUCCUGUAUGAUUUACAAACUGCCAAGGGGCAGACACAGUCUCUGUUUCAAUGUCAUGGUGGGAAGGGCCCGCCUGAUCCUUAAGAGGGUCACGCACGUAGUUCAGCUCAAUUGAAAUGCUCUGGCUCUGACACCCAUCACCCAUAAAAUACGGCCUAAGGAGAAGGACAGGUGAAGGCAGUGCCUGCAUUGCCUCUCAAGGACAGUGAGUGGCUCCCACCGGGCUGUAGCUAGGAGCUACUUCUGCGGGAAACCUGGGCCACUCCGACCUCGCCUAUCUGAGUCCCCUUCAUCUUUUGGAGGGUCCCGGGGCGCCCUGAGGCAUCAUUCCUGCCAGAUUACCAUGAUGCUGACACUUCCCCGAGCCCAGAUGAUUUUUCUGGCUGGCCACUUUCUCCUUAUCGUGCCUGCCGAUCAGCUGGCAGCACUGUUCCUGUUUAUCGUACACUGUCCUGUGCUGUCAUUUAGAAAUACCCAGGCGCUCUCCCAGUGAAUAUUGAUAAGAUACCUUUGGAAUGAGAUAACAACGUGGUAAAGGAAGCUAUCUUCCCCAUGUGAUGAAGAACUUCAGAACGUGCCAUAAAAUGUGAUAAAAGCGUGCCACGCACCCGUGACGGGGGAAGAGCCGGCUGUGGUGUGUCCUGUGCUCGGGGUGGGGGGCCAGAUGCUCGUUGUUUGGAUCUGCUCUUUCAAAGGUUUGGGGCCUUUCGUCUGUGUUUCUAAGCUCUUUGAAGGUCAUGUUGGAAUUAAAAGCUGUAUUUAUUAUCUGUUUUUCCGUGCUAUCUAUAUUACAAUUGCCUAUCGAAUUUGGAAGCCCGGGAUCUCCUGGAGGUGGCUAUUUUCUAAUUCCACUUUUAUCCUCCCCUCUGGUGUCCUAUUUGUCAGCGCCUGUUUGCAUCUGCUGGGGCUGAUAAGGUAGAAACGGCUACCUGACUAACAUUAUUAUGGUUCUCUGGUUCUCCCGCUUCUGGCUAGUUUGAAAUGAUUAUCGCCCCUGGACUCCAGUCACCUGCUAAAAGAUAACACGGCUUCCGGAGGCAGCACUGCCCCCAUCACUUUGAAGUACUGGUAACUCCACCUGUUACCAGCCCAUGGGACCAGCCUCGACGCUGUGUGGGCAAGAAAGGAAAAGGACCUGAGAGAGGGGACAAAGGGGGCCAGGAACAGGUGGGGGUGAGUCCUGGCUGUAUCACCCAAAGCAGGAGCUGACUCCUUGCUCAGAUGUCAGAGAAGGCAAUGAAUCCCUCCUAUUUGAGAAGAGUGCUGUGUGGACCACAGUGCUGCCCGUGGCCUCUACGGGGAUGGGGAGGCUGGGCCCCAGAGCAGCAUCCUUAAACUGACCUUGUUAUGGAUGACUUUUCUCAGUAUAGCUACCAUUUUUUUAAAAAAAUCACAUAUUAACAAUGUAAUCACAUUGAUGAAUGCGAGAGAAUCAUAUUCAUAGAUAACGGCCAGUCUGUAUGUUAAGCCCACGUCCUGCCAAGGAUUUGAGUUUACAUGACUCCUUGAAGCCAGUGAAGUAGAUCCCAUGAAAAAUCAUCAUUUUACGGAUGGUGAAAGUAGACACUUGCUUAAAAAGGUUAAGAGACAUGGCCAAGGUGGCGUAAAUGUGUGAGAGAGGUGAGUUGAAUGCCCACAAUCCUUACGCCUUAUUCUUUUCUCGGUGGAGUAUUUCUUACGGUAGCUUCCCUGUUGAAAAGAGAUCAUGUCACCAAUGUUGCUUCUAAAUGCGGCUUCCAUAGGCUUUGGAGGAGUUGGAGGGAUUGACACAGGUUUCCCCCCACCUUUAUUGACAUAUAAGCCUGUGUGAACUUAAGGUGUCCAACAAGUUGAUCUGAUACACUUAUAUGACAAAAUGGUGUCCCACAGCUUAGCUAACACCUGCUUCACUUUAGAUAAUUACCAUUACCUCUGGCGACCACCAAUCUGUUCUCUGUUUCUAUGAAUUUUAGAUAGUACAUAUGCAUAAUAUCAUACAGCAUUUGUUUUUCUCUGACUUCAUUCAGUUAGCAUAAUGCCCUCAAGGUCCAUCUAUGUUGUCUCAGAUGACGGGAUUUCCUCCUUUUUCAUGACCGAAUAAUAUUCCACGGCAUAAAUGUAUAAAUGGGUAAAUCCAUUCAUCCAUUGACAAACACUUGGGGUGUUGUAUGUGUUGGCUCUUAUGAAUAAUGCUGCAAUGAACAUGGGAGUGCAGAUAUCUUUUUGACAUCCUUUUUUCAUUUUCUUCCGAUAUGUACCUGGAAGUGGAAUUGCUGGAUGAUAUGGCAAUUCUAUUUUUAAUUUACAUUGUUUUACAUAGUGGCUGCCCCAAUUUAAGUUUCUCCCAACAGUGCACAAGUAUUCCCUUUUCUCCACAUCCUCAUCAACACUUGUUAUCUCUCAUCAUUUUGACAACAGACAUUCUAACAGCUGUGAGGAGAUAUCUCACUGUGGUCUUCAUUUGCAUUGCUCUGAUGAUUAGCAGUGUUGAGCAUCUUUGCAUGUACCUGUUGGCCAUUUGUAUGUCUUCUUUAGAAAAAUAUUUGUUGCCCAUUUUUUUUGUUGGCAUUUGCUUGCUCUUGAGUUAUAUGUGUUCUUAUGUACUUUGGCUAUCAAUCCCUUAUCAGGGGUGGCAAAUGCUUUAACCCAUUCUACAGGUUGCCUUUUCAUUUGUCGAUUGUUUCUUUUGCUGUGCAGAAGACGUAGAGGUUCUUGAGAAUCCAGGGGAACUUCAUAAUGAGGUCAAAUUAUCACCUAUCCCUAGGCUUCCGUCUCCUUCUACCUGCUCUUGCGGUGGUAGAGUGAUGGUUCAGUUCCCUUUCGAGCUCAGAGAUUUCAACUGCUCAUUAUAAAAUGUGCAUAUCUUGUGAACUAAAAAUUGUCUCUAAAACAGACUUGCCUUUUUAUUAUGAAUAGGCUCCACUUUCCUUCCUUUUUUCUUAAUGAUCACUGGCUAGAACGCAUAAUGAAUGAAGAGCAGUUGAGGAGCACUGACUGAGUGCCAGGCCGCAUUAUCUCAUUUUCAUUUUGCCGAUGAAGGGAUUUAAGCCUAGAGAAGUUAGGUGACUCUCCUAAGCCUGGAUGUGAGAAAUCUGACUCUAUGUCGGAUACAGUGCUUGACAAAGGACCUCUCUGUCAUAGGAGGGGAGGAGCAAAGCCAGAUGGGGGGGAUGCCUUGUGACAACCAUUGGUUUGCAGUCCGGGCUCAAGUGCUUCAAAACAGCAUUAACUUUUAUUCUGAGAAAUUUUUAAAUUUUUUUUAACAUAUUUUUCUUUCCCUCGAAGGUGCUUAUACCCAGAAGAAGGAAUAGCAUUUUUAUAAUCUUGAUGGGAAUUUUGAGAUUUUUAAAAAUAAAAUAGAUUCUAUUUUUUUGUUUUUUAAUUAAGUGGGAAUGAAGAUUUUUUUUCCCCCAGAAUUUCUAGUUUUUGGGGAGUGGAGGGGCUGGGGGGGGUGGAAGUGCAGCCACAGUUUAUUCUAGUAAUAAAGGUACAUCUUGGCAGAGCAGAGAAAAUACCACACAAAGACUGAGUUGUUAGAGCUACCGCUCAGCACAACCAGCAAAGGCUGUAGUUUCUGGUUCUCCUGUCCGUUUUCUGAUGAGCUUAGCAUGGGUUUAAGUUACUGGCAUGAGGCUUCCAGAGGCCUCAGAGCUGGAUUGGAGGAAUUUUAGGUCCUGCCUUCCCACUGUAUCUUUGCCCUCUACUCCGAAACACCAUAGAAGGAGGAAGAAUGGGAAAAUGAAGCAGGGCAACAAAGGAGUGUAUUCCUUCCAAAAUACACACAUAUUACCAUCUUGGCCCCAACACACCCGGCCUAUCUCACUCGACCAUCCACGGAAGCUCGUGGAGUAUAGAAAACCCACUGAGAGAAAAAUAUCCUCAAAGAAACUCAUUUCUCAGAAGAAUGUUAAAAAGAGUGAGACAGAAAAAGAAAUUCUUGAAUUUUUUUCUUUCUUUUGGCUUCUGUUUCUUUUGGCUAAAGUAAAGAGACUCCUAUCUUCUUUUGCCUUUCUUCCUUUGCAUUAUAAUUAUUGGUUCAUUUGCCUUCAAUUCUUAGGGUUUUUUUUUUUUAGAUAGAAGCUAUUUUGGAAAUGCAGAGUAUUUGCUAUUAAUGUUUAUCCUGACUUGCUUUUUUAAUUUUCAAAAGUAUUCAUAUUCAUCUUGUUUAUAUAUUUUCUUCCAUUAGCUCAUUUCUGCUUUAAUGGCAAUUUUAUUUCAUAAUUUAAAUUUUCUCUAAUCUUUACUACUGAAUGGGUUACUUUAAUGAAAAAUGGAAAUAAUUACUGCUUCUACUCAAGAAAAUGUCUUUCUUUCACUCAGAGCUGUCACUUUUACUUGUAAGAUAAGAUUAUUUUAAAUGGAAUGAAAUUCUGCAAAGCUGACUACACCAAGGAGUACUGACAGGCAGCGACGAGAGGAACCUUCUGUUUCUGAUUGAAAUCAAAACAUUGGGCAUAUAUUUUACUAGCCUCGUAAAUAAUUUUCAGAGAAUAACAACACAAAACUGUCUGCAAAAUUCUCAUUCUCUUUUUCUCCCUGGAACUUAUGGAGUCAUUUAAACUGGUAAUAUUUAUGACAUGGAAAUAGGUAAGAGAGAGUAUUGAUAGAAUGGUAUCUUGUACUUCCAGUAAUAUAAAGAAUAAAAAAUAAGUGGGAGUUCCCUGGUGGCCUAGCAAUUAAAGAUCCAGCAUUGUCAUUGCUGUGGCACAGUUUUGAUCCCUGGCCCAGGACCUUCUACAUGCCACAGGAGCAAUCAAAAAUAAAUAAGUAAAUAAAUAAAUAAAUAAUAUCAUUCCUAGGAUCUGGAUCUAGAAGUAACCUAUUUAACAGGAGUUGCUGUGAUGAUACUGAAACAGCAGCGUUCCCAGAAUUUGAUUCGUCUGUUUAUCACUUGGGUUGUUUAAUGGGCGCUCCCAGACCAGCAGAGCAACUGUGAAAUACAAUGUAUAGUUUUCCGGUGUGGAGAAAAGUCUUUCAAGAUGUUUGCAAUGGUUUGUCAUGCAACUCAGGAAAUGUGUUAGAGUGUGUUAGCGGUCAAAUGCACCCAUUCAUUCAAAUCCACUUUUCAAGCAGUGUUACUCUGCUCAAAUUAUUGCCAGGCUAGAAGAAGGACUCAAAAAUAUACCUUUGUGAUUUCAUAUUUUCCAGACCUUUAAAAGAUCCAGCUAAUGAGGGCAGUAAUGAUGUGGAUUUUCUUUGUUUAAUUUUAUUUUUACUAGAGUAGAGUUGACUUACAGCGUUGUCUCAAUUUCUGCUGUACAGCAUAGUGACCCAGUCGUACACAGAUAUACCUUCUUUUCUUCCUGCUAUCUUCCAUCACAUGAUGUGAAUUUUCAAGGGAAAAAUAAAGAUUCAUUGGCUAUGUCAGCACCGGGUGGGGAGCAAGGAUUUCCUAGCUCUUUUGGAUAUGUCUACUAGAAGUAUUACACAGGUAAUUUCUCUUCAGCAUGCUGAUGCUUUUCAGUUCCACUCGUAUCAGAGGAUGACCUGGAGAAUUUUUAAGUGCAUAUUUGCAGUUGCUCUUAUUUAUAAACCUGCAGCCACCUUCCUUUACUUGCUAAUAAUUACAUUUAAAUUACUGCACUUUCCUUUGGAGGAUACAGUGAGAAAAAUAAAGGAAACAACCUCUAGUUUAAUAUAUACCCUUAGGUGAGAGUAUUUUAAAUCUCACCUGCACUUUAAUCAUUCAAGCUUUUUCAGGUGAUUAUUUAAAUGACACGCCACAAGGACAAAGUGAUCCAAUGCCACCAGAAAGGUAGGUACAAUAUUUAAUUGGAAGAGAAGGAGAGAGAAACUGUUGUUAAUGGACAUGAAAUGAAUUAUACGUUAAAGAGGUAAAAUCGAACUGUUUUUUAAAACUGACAUAUAUGUCAAUUACACAGAUACUAGUUUCAGGUAUACAAGGUAAUUUGUAUAUACUGCAAAAUGAUCACCACCAGAUUCUGGUUAAUAGCUAAUGCCAUACACAGUUACAAUUUCUUUUUCUUGGUCUGGACAAAUAAUCUGGUGGAUAUUGAUUGUUUUCCUUCUCAGCACCCAUUGCCCAUUCUCCCUGUGGCAUCUCUAGAUUCUUGGGGAAUCCAGCCUUUCCCCAUACUCGGUCAUUGUGAUCUGGGAGGCCUUCCACCCCCUGCUCCAGAGAGGGAUCCUGUAACCCACGCCUGAGCCAUUCGGACCUUUGCUUCCUCUUAACUAUGAUUGGCUCCCAAAGUAACACAUCUUCUAGGGGGACCCAAUCAGAGUCUUGAUUUGGGCCACCAGGUUCUAAAUACAUAGCUGAAAUAAGUGGGCAUGAGCAUGGACCUUGGGAGAGACGUCGGGGGCAGACCAGGGAGCGUUAACCUCUGCAAACUUGUCUCAAAGUUCACUCCAUCAGGAGUUAUUGAGUACCUACUUACCAUGUAGGCAUGAUACCCAUAAUCAUGGUGAAAUCUACCUCGUUGCCGUGUGCGGCCAGACAUCACAUGACAUGUGACCUUAUUUAAUCCUCCUUACAGUUCUUGGAGGAAGGACUAUUACGAUUCCAUUCGACAGAAAAGGAACUAAGACCUAAAUGCACUAAGCCACAUGCUCAAGGCCGACAAGCCAGGACCAGCCCGGUUCUGGGGGUCUCUGAACCACGCUGUCAGUCGGUGAAUGGCCUUCCUUUGCACAAGAUUGGCAUGGUGGACCUUGAAGGGGGCUCCUCGGGGCUCUUCUGGACCAAAUACUCCUUCUCCGGCUGGCCAGGAGGACCUGGCAAUCACAAGAAGGAGUCAUUCCCAGGACCUUUCACCUGUGGGGCCCUUCCCUAGGCUGGGGCUGGGUUUCACACUCACUGCCCUGAUUUCCUCUCAAAGGAGGAAAAAAAUCUUUGGCCAUGAAGAAGCACAAGAGUUUUAACCAACCCGUCCAUCCUAGGGAGCUCAGACCUGCUUCUCCCAUUGACAGCAUGUUGGGUUUCUGACGCCUCCUGAUUCCCUGCUGUAUUCUGAUGUUCACAACCCCCGCCCCCCCACCCAGAAGCCCAGGCUGCUUCAGAGUAUGUGUCUCCUCAGCUCCAACAUGGACAGAGCGCCCCACCUUACCCUGAGGUAUUUCUUGUGCCGUAUUACAUAUUCAAAUGCAAUUACAAAACAGGAUCUUAUGGAGUAAAUAUCGUGAUGUCAAUAGUUUCCACUAUCGUAAUAAUUUACGUAAGACAGAAAAAUCACUUCCAGAAUCUGAGCAAGUCUAAGUUGGUCCCCUCCUUC